CCUACGGGAGGCAGCAGUGAGGAAUAUUGGUCAAUGGGCGCGAGCCUGAACCAGCCAAGUCGCGUGAGGGAGGACGGCCCUACGGGUUGUAAACCUCUUUUGCCGGGGAGCAACGGGCGUCACGUGUGGCGCCACUGAGAGUACCCGGAGAAAAAGCAUCGGCUAACUCCGUGCCAGCAGCCGCGGUAAUACGGAGGAUGCGAGCGUUAUUCGGAUUUAUUGGGUUUAAGGGGUGCGUAGGCGGACUGGAAAGUCAGCGGUAAAAUCGAGAGGCUCAACCUCUUUCCGCCGUUGAAACUGGUUUUCUUGAGUGAGCGAGAAGUAUGCGGAAUGCGUGGUGUAGCGGUGAAAUGCAUAGAUAUCACGCAGAACUCCGAUUGCGAAGGCAGCAUACCGGCGCUCAACUGACGCUCAUGCACGAAAGUGUGGGUAUCGAACAGGAUUAGAUACCCGAGUAGUC
rnacentral:rRNA from 1 species